CAGUCGCCGCGGGAACACGUAGGUGGCAAGCGUUGUCCGGAAUUAUUGGGCGUAAAGGGCUCGCGGGCGGUUUCUUAAGUCUGAUGUGAAAGCCCCCGGCUCAACCGGGGAGGGUCAUUGGAAACUGGGAAACUUGAGUGCGGAAGAGGAGAGUGGAAUUCCACGUGUAGCGGUGAAAUGCGUAGAGAUGUGGAGGAACACCAGUGGCGAAGGCGACUCUCUGGUCUGUAACUGACGCUGAGGAGCGAAAGCGUGGGGAGCGAACAGGAUUAGAUACCCCUGUAGUCCCUGUCUCUUAUAC
rnacentral:rRNA from 1 species